rnacentral:rRNA from 1 species
CCUGAUCCAGCCAUGCCGCGUGUGUGAAGAAGGCCUUCGGGUUGUAAAGCACUUUCGGCCGGAACGAAAUCGCGCGAUCUAAUAAGUCGCGUGGAUGACGGUACCGGAAGAAGAAGCACCGGCUAACUACGUGCCAGCAGCCGCGGUAAUACGUAGGGUGCGAGCGUUAAUCGGAAUUACUGGGCGUAAAGUGUGCGCAGGUGGCCGCGCAAGUCGAGUGUGAAAUCCCCGGGCUUAACUUGGGAAUUGCGCUCGAAACUACGUGGCUGGAGUGUGGCAGAGGGAGGUGGAAUUCCACGUGUAGCGGUGAAAUGCGUAGAGAUGUGGAGGAACACCAAUGGCGAAGGCAGCCUCCUGGGCCAACACUGACACUCAUGCACGAAAGCGUGGGGAGCAAACAGGAUUAGAUACCCUGGUAGUCCACGCCCUAAACGAUGAUGACUAGUUGUUGGGGGAGUUAAAUCCCUUAGUAACGCAGCUAACGCGCGAAGUCAUCCGCCUGGGGAGAACGGGUCGCAAGAUUAAAACUCAAGGAA